rnacentral:rRNA from 1 species
UAACACAUGCAAGUCGAGCGGUAAGGCCUUUCGGGGUACACGAGCGGCGAACGGGUGAGUAACACGUGGGUGAUCUGCCCUGCACUUCGGGAUAAGCCUGGGAAACUGGGUCUAAUACCGGAUAUGACCUCAGGUUGCAUGACUUGGGGUGGAAAGAUUUAUCGGUGCAGGAUGGGCCCGCGGCCUAUCAGCUUGUUGGUGGGGUAAUGGCCUACCAAGGCGACGACGGGUAGCCGACCUGAGAGGGUGACCGGCCACACUGGGACUGAGACACGGCCCAGACUCCUACGGGAGGCAGCAGUGGGGAAUAUUGCACAAUGGGCGAAAGCCUGAUGCAGCGACGCCGCGUGAGGGAUGACGGCCUUCGGGUUGUAAACCUCUUUCAGCAGGGACGAAGCGCAAGUGACGGUACCUGCAGAAGAAGCACCGGCUAACUACGUGCCAGCAGCCGCGGUAAUACGUAGGGUGCAAGCGUUGUCCGGAAUUACUGGGCGUAAAGAGUUCGUAGGCGGUUUGUCGCGUCGUUUGUGAAAACCAGCAGCUCAACUGCUGGCUUGCAGGCGAUACGGGCAGACUUGAGUACUGCAGGGGAGACUGGAAUUCCUGGUGUAGCGGUGAAAUGCGCAGAUAUCAGGAGGAACACCGGUGGCGAAGGCGGGUCUCUGGGCAGUAACUGACGCUGAGGAACGAAAGCGUGGGUAGCGAACAGGAUUAGAUACCCUGGUAGUCCACGCCGUAAACGGUGGGCGCUAGGUGUGGGUUCCUUCCACGGAAUCCGUGCCGUAGCUAACGCAUUAAGCGCCCCGCCUGGGGAGUACGGCCGCCAAGG